UACAGAGGGUGCGAGCGUUAAUCGGAAUUACUGGGCGUAAAGCGUGCGUAGACGGUAGCGUAAGUCGGGUGUGAAAGCCCCGGGCUCAACCUGGGAAUUGCAUUCGAGACUGCUCUGCUAGGGUGCGGAAGAGGGGAGCGGAAUUUCCGGUGUAGCGGUGAAAUGCGUAGAUAUCGGAAGGAACACCAGUGGCGAAAGCGGCUCCCUGGUCCAGCACCGACGUUCAGGCACGAAAGCGUGGGGAGCAAACAGG
rnacentral:rRNA from 1 species